UACGUAGAGUGCAAGCGUUAUUCGGAAUUACUGGGCGUAAAGCGUGCGCAGGCGGCUUUGCAAGUCAGAUGUGAAAUCCCCGGGCUCAACCUGGGAACUGCAUUUGUGACUGCAAGGCUAGAGUACGGCAGAGGGGGAUGGAAUUCCGCGUGUAGCAGUGAAAUGCGUAGAUAUGUGGAGGAACACCGAUGGCGAAGGCAGCCCCCUGGGCCAACACUGACGCUCAGGCACGAAAGCGUGGGGAGCAAACAGG
rnacentral:rRNA from 1 species